AACGAACGCUGGCGGCGUGGAUAAGACAUGCAAGUCGAACGAUGAUUGUGGGGUAGCAAUAUUCCGCAGUUGGAGUGGCGUAAGGGUGCGUAACACGUGGGUAAUUUGCCGUGAAGCCCGGGAUAACUCCGAGAAAUCGGAGCUAAUACCGGAUGUGGUUGCUCGGGGACAUCCCCUAGCGGCCAAAGGUGGGGACCAUAAGGCCUGACGCUUCAUGAUAAGCCCGCGGCCUAUCAGCUAGUUGGAGGGGUAAUGGCCCACCAAGGCUAAGACGGGUAGCUGGUCUGAGAGGACGACCAGCCACACUGGAACUGAGACACGGUCCAGACACCUACGGGUGGCAG
rnacentral:rRNA from 1 species